UACGUAGGGGGCAAGCGUUGUCCGGAAUCAUUGGGCGUAAAGAGCGUGUAGGCGGCCCGGUAAGUCCGCUGUAAAAGUCAAAGGCUCAACCUUUGAAUGUCAGUGGAUACUGCCGGGCUAGAGUCCGGAAGAGGCGAGUGGAACUCCUGGUGUAGCGGUGGAAUGCGCAGAUAUCAGGAAGAACACCAACGGCGAAGGCAGCUCGCUGGGACGGUACUGACGCUGAAGCGCGAAAAGCGUGGGGGAGCAAACGGGG
rnacentral:rRNA from 1 species